GUCAGGCAAGACAAGCAACAGAGCCAAAGCAACCACAAGGUGACACAUGGCCAGGAGCAGGCUCUGGGAAGCUUCCAAGUGUGACUGAGAGGAGGUCAGAGAGUGUGGUCUCACCUCCCAGGUGACAGCCCAGUGUGUCAGGACCAAGGUCAUCAGUAAGUAGAGAUCAGAGAGUGUGCCCUCACCUCCCAGGUGACAGCCCAGUGUGUCAGGACCAAGGUGCUCAGUGAGGGGAGGUCAGAGAGUGUGCCCUCACCUCCCAGGUGACACCCAGUGUGUCAGAACCAAGGUCCUCAGUGAGGGGAGGUCAGAGAGUCUGCCCUCACCUCCCAGGUGACACCUAGUGUGUCAGUACCAAGGUCCUCAGUGAGGGGAGGACAGAGAGUGUGCCCUAACCUCCUAGGUGACAGCCCAGUAUCAGGACUAAGGUCCUCAGUGAGGGGAGGUCAGAGAGUGUGCGCUCACCUCCCAGGUGACACAUAUUGUGUCAGGACCAACGACCUCAGUAAGGGGAUGAGAGAGAGUGUACCCUCACCUCCCAGGUGUCAGCCCAGUGUGUCAGGACAAACGUCCUCAUUGAGGGGAGGUCAGAGAGUGUGCCCUCACCUCCCAGGUGUCAGAUAAGUGUGUCAGGACAAAGGUCCUCAGUGAGGGGAGGUCAGAGAGUGUGCCCUCACCUCCCAGUUGACAGUCCAGAGUGUCAGGGUCUAUGUCCUCAGUGAGUGGAGGUCAGAGAGUUUGCCAUCACCACCCAAGUGACAGCCCAGUGUGUCAGGACCAAGGUCCUCAGUGAAGGGAGGACAGAGAGUGUGCCCUCACCUCCCAGGUGUCAGCCCAUUGUGUCAGGACAAACGUCCUCAGUGAGGGGAGGUCAGAGAGUGUGCCCUCACCUCCCAGCUGUCAGAUAAGUGUGUCAGGACAAAGGUCCUCAGUGAGGGGAGGUCAGGGAGUGUGCCCUCACCUCCCACUUGACAGACCAGUGUGUCAGGGCCUAGGUCCUCAGUGAGUGGAGGUCAGAGAGUUUGCCAUCACCACCCAGGUGACAGCCCAGUAUUCAGGAC
rnacentral:lncRNA from 1 species